rnacentral:rRNA from 1 species
UACAGAGGUGGCAAGCGUUGUUCGGAAUUACUGGGCGUAAAGGGCGCGUAGGCGGUCUUGUCAGUCCCUUGUGAAAUCCCCCGGCUCAACUGGGGAACUGCAAGGCAGGAACAGCGGGGCUUGAGUUCGGGAGAGGGAAGCGGAAUUCCGGGUGUAGCGGUGAAAUGCGUAGAUAUCGAGGAAGACACCGGUGGCGAAGGCGG